UGUGAAGUCACAGUGGCCUUGUUGGU
rnacentral:piRNA from 1 species